rnacentral:lncRNA from 10 species
GGUGUGUGUGCCCUUCUAUCAUGCGUGUCAGUGACCAGAAAGGCAGAGACCAAAGAGCAAAGCUAAAAUUCAAGUAAUGGACUAUUUGGAUGAUAGCGUGCCCGGAAUUGGUUCCUUCCGAUAUUCUUGGUCUCGCUGACUUUAACAAUGAAGCCUCAGACCAUUGCGCACAGUCCAGUGUUAAGACAGGGCAUGAGGACCAGCUCCACUGGAAACACCAGCCAGCGUCUUAACCGGGGAGGAAGGAAGGUGUGUGCUGGGCAAGUGGGGCAUGUGACAAAGUGGAACUGAAGUGGCCGUCGCUUGCCUUUAGGCCAGCAGUAAUGGCGAGGUUGGAGCAC